rnacentral:lncRNA from 1 species
GUCAACUUCAUUUUAUUAGUAGAGACCCGACUUUAGGGACUUAGAGGGGUGCUACGGUCUUUACCGUACCUUCUUGAUAAGUAACUCGACCCCCGAGCCUGACCCGGUUUUUCACAGAUCAUUUUUUCUAAAAUAAGGAGUCACGCUUAGGGUUUUCUUUCUUAUUUUGUUUACCCUUUUAAAAAUAAAAUAAAAAUAAGUGGCGACUCCAAGUCAUUUCUUUUUAAUAAAUAAAAAUUAUUUCCAAAAUAAAAAUCGAGCUCACCAUCGAGUGGAAGCGCAUGAGCUAAAAUGUGGGGUCCACAACGUGAUAUAUAUAUAUAUAUUAGUAGCUCAACACGUGUUAUGCACAUGAGGGUAUAUGAAUGAUAAUGUUUUCAUGAUUUAAACACCUUUUUCAAAUUUAUGUGCAUAUAAUCAUCUUCAAAUAUUUCAUUUUUAAAUAAUAAAUUUAUUUAAUAAAAGUUGAAGUUAACAUAUUCAUUAUUUGUUCUUUUAUAGUUCACUAGAUUUUUGUUUAAUCAUUAUCUUAACUAAAUUAUUUAAAUCAAAAUUUAUUAUAACAAUUGUAUAUAUCAUAUAGUUAUGUUUGGUUUCUAGAAAAUUUGAGGAAAAAUGAAAAGGAAAAAAAAUAAAGAGAAAAAUUAGAAGAAAGAAAAAGUGGAGGAAAAUAAAAAAGAUUUAAAAUCGAUAAAUUAUUUUUAUUUGUUACUUCAAACUCAUUUACUUAUUUUAAUCCAUUGAUAUAAAUAUUAAAUAAUUUGAAAAUGCGUGAGUUUUUUUUUUUAUUUAUUAAUUUUGAUUAUAUUUGAUUUUCUUUGGUAUUUUUCAUAGGACAAUUAAGAAUGAAAAAAUAAUUUUCCUUGAUAUUUUUUUUUGGCACAGUACUUUUGAGAAGAGAACCAAACACAGAGUUUGAAAAGUAAUUUAAUUAUUAACUUUUAAUAAUUAAUAAUAAUUUGUAUUAUAUCCUUUAAAUUGGUUUUAUUGAAUGAUUGUUUCUUUAAUACAAAUGUUAAGACUAUUGGUUUUAUUGAGUUAUAUUUUUUUUUAAAUACAAAUGUUAAAAUUGAGUUAGUAUGUAGUAUAGGUGGAGGUGGCUAGAAGAAAUAAAGCUUCAAAAACUAAUUAAUAAUUAGAAAAAAUUAAUUUUAUUAUUUUAAAUGUAUGCAACUAUAGACCCCCUCAAGUAAGAUGGGUUCUUUUCUAUUAUUUUUAUUAUUUUUUCUGGCCACUUUGAGAAGGAGUCGUUCUUGGGUAGCCAAAUGAGCUUGCAGGUGAAGGAAGAACAACUAGUGGGUGAGUUGUUCUAGGCAUACGGAUGGGAUGGGAGGAAGAGAGGGCAGAGAGCUAGUUGGAGCUAUAGAGAGGACGACGGUUGAAGUAGCGGGCGGGUACCAGCAUUGCAUCAAAAGAAAGAUAUUUUUUUGAACUGAGUGGAAGGGAGAGCUUGAAGAGAAGGAAAAACAGAGUUUCAUAGAGGGGAGCGAAAUGUUGCUUGAGAAGAGCUUUCCCAGGUAUUGCAACUAUAGCUUCUUUGUUGUCUCAUUUUCAGCUGUCUUCCUAAGAAUCAGUUUGCUGUUUUGAUGUGGAUAGGAAGAGCCAUUUGUUUGUCAUGGUCAUGUUUAGUCUUCUGUGUCCAUACUCUGUUUUUUUGGGUUUUCCUUGCUUUUCUUUGUGCAAUAUUGAUGCAUAAGUUUGUUUCUGAACUUGAUAUAUGAGACUCUUGUUUAUUUUCUUUGUUAACCCUACUUGUUUUGAGCUCAUGGAUGUCACUUGAAAUGGAGCUCUGUACCAUCAUGUGUUUCAUGUUCUCGUAUUUGUUUAAUCCUCAUUGUUCGAUCUGGCUAUUGUCUUUGUUGUUACUCCUAUAUCCGUGCUGUGUUUGGUGGGUUGUUUGACCUGGAAUUUGGUGAAAAUGGAUGGAGCUAUGUUCUCGCUAUCAAGCUUGGUGCCCGCCUUACUAAGAAUGGUGAGACUCAAGUCACUGUUGAGUACCACAAUGAAAAUGGCGCCAUGGUUCCUCUUCGUGUGCACACUGUUUUUGUCUCUAUCCAGCGUGAUGAGAUCGUCACCAAUGAAUGAUCUUGCUGCUCUGGUACCAAAGAGAGUAUCAUUAAGCCUGUUAUUCCUGAGAAGUACCCAGAUGAAAAUAUCAUUUUCCAACACCCACUAAGCCACUUCUCAUACCACCUGUUUCACCAAUAAUGCUCACGCCUAACCCACUUUCAGUAUUUUUCAUUUCAUUCCCCAUGUCCACCAUCCAUCAUAUUCAUUGCCAGUAGCUCAUUUCAUCUCACCACUUUUCCACUCUCCAUGCUCGCCAAACCCACUUUUUUUAAUACCCUGCAAACCCACUUCCUUCGCUACCCAUUUACCUUCAUGCAUGCAUGUACCCAUUUUCCAUACCCAUUAAACCACCUAUCACCCUCACCAUCCAUCUAACCCACCUUCAUCUCAUUCCAAUUAUUCCUCAUAUACAUGAAGCCCGAUGCGUGCAUGACAUCUCCAUACCCAUCUUUCAUGCCCCCAUGCAUGUACCCAUUUUCCAUACCCAUUAAACCACCACCAACUCCUCCACCAAGCCACCCAUGGAUAGAGAAGAGAGAGGGAGAGGUUUUAGAGAGAGAAAAAUGGCACCUGAGUUUUCAUGUAGAACAUUUUGUUUUUAGUUUUAGGCACUGCAGACAACCUUUUGAUUGAGUGAGAAUUGAUUCCAGCUUGCCGGUACUAGGUUGUAGCCCACUACUUAAAAAAAAAGAGAAUAGGUCCUGCUUGGAGCUUACAUUGUCGAUAACAAAAACUACUGGUGAGGUUGAUCCCAAUGCCAUCAAGUAACAGUUUCCAAAAUGAAGGCUAUCAAAGCCAUUGAUGGCAUUUUUUUUUAUUAUUUCUUUCUUGUAUGGGAAUCGUAAUAUGGCAGUAAAAUCAAUGGAAGACUUUUUGGUGGGCCAUCCCUAGAAUAUAUAUGCCCAUUUUCCUUUUUGGUCUCACAUGUUUUCACAAAUUGUUUUCUUAAAAUAACUUUCAAAAUUUUGGAUUUUCAAUCACUUCAAUCUUCAAAUUAACUUUUCAAAAGCUCUAACUUCCAAAUUUAAUUUUUUUUUAUUUUUAAAAUGCCAUCUUCAAAUUAAUCUUUCAAAAAUUCUAACUUCCAAAUUUUUUUUAAUGCCAUUUUCAAAUUAAUUUUUCAAAAAUUCUAACUUCUAGAUUUAAGUUUUUUUUAAAAUGCCAUCUUCAAAUAAAUUUUCCAAAAAUUCUAGUUUCCAAAUUUAAUUUCUAAAAGGCCAUCUUAAAAUAAAUCUUCCAAAAAAUUCCAAUUUCCAAAUUCGAUAUUUUAUUCCAUCUUUAAAUAAUUCUUCAAAAUUCCGAUUUUCAAGUUUAAUUUCCAAUUUUCAAAAUUCCAAUUUUCACGUUUAUUUAUCGAAUCAUUAUUAUUUUCAUUAUUAUUAUUAUUAUUAUUAUUAUUAUUAUUAUUAUUUUAUUUAUUUUUAAAAUUCCAUCUUUAAAUAAUUCUUCAAAAUUCCGAUUUCCAAAUUUAAUUCCCAAUUUCUGAAAUUCCAAAUUUUCAAUUUCCGAAUUUAAUUUCCAAUUUCCAAAAUUCCAAUUUUCACAUUUAUUUAUUCAAUCAUUAUUAUUUUCGUUAUUAUUAUUAUUUUAUUUAUUUAUUUAUUUUUAAAAUUCCAUCUUUAAAUAAUUCUUCAAAAUUCCGAUUUCCAAAUUUAAUUCCCAAUUUAUGAAAUUCAAAUUUUCCAAUUUCCGAAUUUAAUUUUUAAUUUCCAAAAUUCCAAUUUUCACAUUUAUUUAUUCAAUCAUUAUUAUUUUUCGUUAUUAUUAUUAUUUUAUUUAUUUAUUUAUUUUUAAGAUUCCAUCUUUAAAUAAUUCUUCAAAAUUCUGAUUUCCAAAUUUAAUUCCUAACUUCUGAAAUUCCAAUUUUCCAAUUUCCGAAUUCAAUUUCCAAUUCCUGAAAUUCCAAUUUUCACAUUUAUUUAUUUAUUUAUUUAUUAUUAUUAUUAUUAUUAUUAUUUUAUUUUUUUAUUUUUAAAAACUCCAUCUUCAAAUAAUUUCCCAGAUUCCAAUUUUUAUAAUUUAAUUUUCAUAGUUCCAAUUCUCAAAUAAUUUUAAAAAUUCCAAUUUCUUUCAAAUUUAAUUCCAAAAUUCCAAUUCUUAAAUUUAAUUCCCAAUACUCCAAUUUUCAAAUAAAUUUCUUUCAAAUUUAAUUUCCAAUUCUUAGGGGUUUCCAAAUAUCUUUCACAUUUAAUUUCCAAAAUUCCAAUUCUUAAAUUUAAUUCCCAAGACUCCAAUUUUCAAAUAUAUUUAAAAAAUCCAUUUUUCUCUUGAACAGUUUUAAUUCCACUAUGGUUCUCAAAUAAUCUUCUGUUUUUCUUGAUUUUACAUAAGCAUGAAUGCAAUUUCAUAAUUCCAGAAUAAUGGAAUUUGUGAGACUAAUUCGUGCAAGAUAGAUUGGGCUUUGGUGGGGGCCCCACAUAUGAGUUUUCUCUUAUGAUUGUCAAUUGUUAUGCUUGAUGAGUAUUGCUUGAUCUUUGCCUUGCUCUUUGAUAUGCAUGUGAAGAUUUUAUACUUGAGCUAACCUUGUUUCCAUGAUAGCGCACUAUUAAUUGCUAUUAAGGUACGAUCUCAUUCCCAUUUCGCUUAUUCUUAUGCAUGAUUCACUUUAUUAUUGGAUUAUUUCAUUUUGAUAUCCAUUGAUUUUCUUACCAAUUGCUAUGCUUGCAUUAUCUUAUUAGUAGAAACCCGUUUUUAGGGACGUAGGGGGUGCUACGGUCUUUAUCGUACCUUCCCGAUAAGUAACUUGACCCCCGAGCCCAGAUUUGGUUUUUCAUAGACCACAUUUUUCAAAUAAGGAGUCACACUUAGAGUUUUCUUUCUUAUUUUGUUUACCCUUUAAAAAUAAAACAAAAAUAAGUGGCGACUCCAAGUCUUUUCUAAAAAAAUCAUAUUUUUCACCAAAUAAAACAAAAAAACGAGUCUCGCAAUCGAGUGGGAAUGCAUCGAGCGAAAAUGCAGGGUCUACAAAAUGGCGACUCCACUGGGGAGUCACAAGAAGGUUAAACUUGAACUUAAAAUGAAGCAAAUGUGGAGUUUGAUGGGUCGAUCAGUGGGUACCUAUCUCUUGAUUGCACAUUGAGAGCUCUUGAUAUAAUUGUCCUUGAUUCAUGCUUGGUUAUUGUGUUCAUUUGGGGCUUUGACACAUUGAUUAUGAUGUUUGAUUAUCUUGAUUAUGAUGUUUGAUUAUCUUGAUUAUGAUGUAGCAUUUUUUUUUUCUGUGCUUCAUUGCUAUAUUUGUUUGGGACAUUGACAUGUUGAUUAUAUAUUGAUUGAUUAUCUUGCAUGUCUUAGCAUAGAGACUUUGAUUUUUCCAUGAUUGUUCUGCUCACUUCACAUGUAUAGGCUCAUUGAUGGUGACUUUUGACUUGAUGUGUUGAUUCUCUGGCUUGUAUAUUGUCUUGAUCAUUUCUGAGCAUGCUGUCUUUGUCACUAUUCCUCUUGAUAGUCAUAGCUUGUGUGGACAUGGCUGAUAUAUCUGAGUUCCGCUUGACUGCCUGUUGCAUGACUACUCUUCUUCUGUAUGAUUGCAUGUCGUUUGUCCGUGUGGGCCGCACAUCUAUCCCUUUACUUCCAACCCUCUAGUUUUCGGUCAUUUCUUUCAUCUUGGCUCUCACUUUUGCAAGUGUGAGGCCUUGUGUGUGCUUGUUUCUUUGACCGAGCUAGAGGUUAGGAAUAGGGUUUAGCGAUGGGCUAUAUCGAUGUUUGGGAGUAUUAUGGAGGAGUGUCCAACACAUUGAUGUUGAUUGGAGUCCGAUCAUUAAAGACCUGUAUAGCCCAGAGCUAGGUUUCAUGGAUAUUUGUGAGACCAAUAUGUUUCAUCUUCUGCUUUAGCUUCAUAGGGUUUUCGGAUGCACCCGCAUCGCUCACUAUGCACUUUAGUUUACCAUUGAGUGUUGAGAGUUUUGAGAGAUUUCACCAUAGGAAACCUCCUAGGAUGUCGAGGUAGUGCAUGUGUGGAGGUGAUGACCACCUUGCAUGGAAGUGCCCUGUCUCUUCGGAGGCGUGCAGAGGGUUGCGUUACCGCUGGAGGGUAUGAUCGCUUCUGCUAGGGAUCUUUUAAAGUCCACCCAUAUCUCUUUAGAGCCACCUUGAUCUUGUAAGUUGAGCCUUAGAUCUUUUAAUCAUGAUUUUAUUUCCUAACAUGUGGGUGCAUCUGUGAGCCUUCAGAGCCGGUUCAGUAGUGAUAGGUUUAGUUACCUUCGUAAUAGCUUCUUGUGUAUCUGCUCAAGAUUGGAUAUCAAUUUGAUUACUCCCGGGUUACCUUUCGGCAUAUUUGAUAGACGUUCCUUGUAGAGUUUCCUUUACCCCGUAUCUUAUUUAGUAUUUCCAUUGUUGUAGGGGUAUUGAUACGUUCAGUUUGGGUUCUACUUCUUGGAUUAGAGUUGGGGGCAGAUUGACAAGGGUAUCAGACCAAUUAGACCAAAUAUCAGAUCAGAGAGAUAUGGAUUCAUAGAUAGUUACCGUCGACCAAUUUGCUACGACCAUGGCUUCCAUUCAAAAGGCUAUAGCUAGCCUCGGCCGGAGGAUAGAUGGGCAGCAGGCCUAGCAAGGUCCCCCUCAGGAUGACGCCCAGUAUGACCAUACAGUGCUACCGCCCCCUCCACCCAGUCAGUCAACACCCUAGGGUAUACUUUUCACCCUACAUAGUCAAACUGAGGUUGCCCCACCUCUUGUCAUCGUGCCUACCCCGACCUCAGAGGACCCACAUGCUCACAUGGAUAGGCUUCAGCGGAGGUUGAGGAAGUUGAUGACUUCAGAUAGAGCUAUUACUUGGGAUGAUUUCGAUGGACUACUAGUGGCUAGUUUGCCAUCCAAGUUCAAGAUGAUAGAAAUCGAGCGAUACACGUGGAUUGGUUGUCCUCACAUCCAUUUGAGGCUUUACAGUACGAUCAUGAGGGCCCAUGGAUUGGAUGAGACCCAGAUGAUUAUGCUUUUCCCCAUGUCCCUGAGUGGUGCGACACAACGAUGGUUUGCUUCAUUGGAUGUAUCAUGUUGCCGGACUUGGGAUGAUUUUGCCCAAGAGUUUUUGAGAUAGUUUGCAUUUAAUACUGUCAUUGAUGUCUCGAGGAGAGAGUUAGAGGCAUUGAGACAGGGGCCAAAGGAUUCGAUCACCUCAUUUAUUUCCCGUUGGAGGGAGAAGAUUUCGCAGGUUAUUGAUAGACCAUUUGAGAGGGAUCAAAUCAGCAUGAUUAUGAGGAGCUUGCAGCCUCGAUUUGCUCGGCACUUGAUGGGAUUUCCUCAUAUGGAUUUUGGAUCUUUGGUACAGGCCUUGUACGGUAUAGAUGAGGGCAUAACUAGAGGAUUAUGGUCUGAAUAUUCUCUUUUUGAUUUGAAGGGGAAAAAGCCUUUAGGAAGACAAAGACCAAGAGAUGUGGGUGCUAUCAGUUUGGCAAGUUUGAGACCACCUAGGCGCUAUAAGACAGUUGGGCAGACUUUUGGACUCUACUACCCACUAUCGCCUCGUGUUCAGUAUAGGCCACGAGCACCUCAUUAAUCAUAUGAUUAGGCCUACAUACCUCCUACAUCAGCACUACCUUACCAUGCCGCACAAGGCACAAAGAGGCCCCCUAUUUCAUAUUCUGCCACAGGGCAGCCAUGCUAUGCAGCACAGUUUGCGCGAGACCUUUAAUAUCCUAUCGUAAACCUAGAGCUCAGCAAACCUCUACUCCUUUUGCUUUGAUGACUCAGAGACAGUUUUCACAGUUGGGUAUGCCGUUGAGCCAGGCUCUUUGGAAACUCACAGAGGCCGAAUUAUUGACGACUCUCACUCCUAGACCACCACCUCAGCUUGUUGUGCCUCAGUUCAGGAUGGAUCUACACUGUGCGUAUCAUCAGGGGUCGGGACAUGAGACUGACCACUGUAUUGCUUUGAGACAUGCCAUCCAGGAUCUGAUUGAUUAGGGUUUGGUUCACUUAGGUCAACCAAUUGUAACCACAAACCCAUUACAGGUUCACAUUACACACGCGGUUCCCCCUCCGACCGAGGGCGUACAUUCUAUUGACUUUGCUGAACUUGAUGAUCACAUCCACAUGUUGAGCUGGGAUGAGUCAGAGCCAGAGCCAGAGCCUAUAGUAUUAGACGAGAUUUAUGAGAUAGACAGAGUGGCUUUGGGCCCUCGGAUGUCCACACCAUUCAGACUGAUCCUUGAGGCGGCAUUAGUACAGACGACCACUGUCGAGCCAUUGAUUCUUCCACAUACAACAUUCAGGCACCAUUCAUCUUGAUUCCAGAUGUUGAGGAGGUUCAGACUUCGUAUGUUGAUGUUUCUCAGACUCCAUAUGUUGAUGAUGUUCAUACUUCAAAUGUACAGUAUGUUAUCUACGGGGGUAGGGUGGUACGACAGCAGGCCCUUGCAGCCGCUAGACCCUUGGAGGGGACAUCCUCCCAUGAGGAGGUCAGGAGAGAGGAUGAUGAGAUCCUGAGAUAAUUAUAGAGCACCCAAGCUUGUAUUUCUAUUUGGAGCUUGCUGGCAUCUUCCAACACUCAUAGAGACACAUUGAUUUGAGCCUUGAGCCAGAUCAGAGUUGAGAUUACCACCACCUCGGAGGGAUUGAUUCAUAUGGUGACGGCUGGCAAAGCCACUUGUAUAAUAUUCUUUGAUGAUGACUUGCCACCUAAUGGUCCAGACCAUACAUGUCCACUAUAUAUUUUAGUCGGUUGUUCAGGCCGCCGAGUCUCAUUUGUUCUCUUGGACAAUGGCUCGUCCUUGAACGUUUGCCUUCUAGCUACUGCCAUUGCCCUCGGUUAUGCGCCCUCUGACUUUGGUCCCUCCACUCAUAUAGUCCGAGCCUAUGAUAACAUCAGAAGGGAGGUUAUGGGAACUUUGGAGAUUGAGCUAUUGAUAGGUCCGACCACUUUUCCCAUAUUGUUCUAGGUUUUGAGGAUUCCUACAUCCUUUAACCUGCUUUUGGGUCGACCUUGGAUUCACAGAGUUGGGGCUAUUCUUUUUUCCUUUCAUCAGAAGGUGAAGUUCAUUCACGAUGGCCAGGUCAUCACAGUGCAGUUUGUGGGAGAUAUGUUCAUUUCUUUUGAGCCAGUGCUUCAGAUCAGUCACAGUGAUGACGACUUAUUUCUGACUGGGUUCACAUUCGAUGAGGUGCAGACCCUAGAGAUGGAGGAUUUUUUCCGAGACUUCAUGGCUAUGUCGUUUGACCAACAUGACAACACAGUGGUGCUUGAUAUGAUGAGGAACAUGUCUUAUCUACCGAGCAUGGGAUUGGGGCGACGCCAGCACGAGCUUAGUGAGUUCAUGGCUAUCUUAGAUCAUGAUGUACCGUUCGAACUCGGGUUCAUCCCCAUUGAGGCCGAUUAUCGAUAUAUGACGCGAGUGCGCAAGGAGAGGGUGACAGCUCGACUGACUCACACACCGUUUGACUAUCCUAUUCGCCCGUAUACCAUGAGCUUAGCGGACUACUUUGUUUGAGGGUGUCAGAGCUACAAACACAAUCCGAUGGGAUCAUUGAGGGAUUCAACACUGCUCAGGAGGCCAAGCUUCAGCGUCUUGUCCACUAGCUACAGUUGAGUAACAGAGCUCCUAGCACUUCUGUUUUUGCAUUGGUCACCCCAUCAUCUCCAGAUCGUAUGAGCCUUAUGACACUCUAUUUCCCAGAUGAGGUCGAUGAGCAUGGGACAUUUUCCGAGAUCGGAGACAUAGUAGAUGGAACUGUUCCACAUGACGAGUACAUUGAUGAGAUGCUCGCUAUGAGUAUGAGCCAGAUUGAUGGGGUAGUUCAACUCGAGCUUGAUUCGCCAUUCGAUAUCUUCGAGGUGUCCGCAAUCGAGAUCGCUUAGAAGAUUCAAACUGCUCCUGCUCUGGAGAUUUCAGAUGAUAUUAUAGUUAUUGACGAUUUGUUUGAUGGCCCUAUUGGCCCAGUUAAGGGAGUGUCUGACUUUGUGGACCCACCUCUUUCAUUUGAUGUUUUAUCAAGAUAUGUCUCCCGUUCUGACGAUGUUCAUGACUCUUCAUUUAUAGAUUUGAGCAUUUUCGAGUAUCUGCCUGUCUCUUGUGAUAUCACUUUAUCUGCACUCUCUUCACCCACAUCACAGAUAUUUGAUAUAGAUGAUGAGAUUGUACAACACGAUUCAGAUGAUGACUCAUUUUCUGCUUCUGAUUUGGACCUCACUGAUUAGAGAGUUUCAACUACCACAAGAGACGCUGAGAUUGUUGAUUUUGGUACAGAAGACCAACCGAGGGAGUUGAGGAUUGGAUUGGAUUUGUCUACAAAUGAGAGAGAUGGCCUCGCUCGGUUGCUCAUAUCAUAUUUGGAUGUCUUUGCAUGGUCCUACGAGGACAUGUCGGGCCUUGAUCCAUCCAUAGUACAACACCACUUGCCACUUUUGCCUCAUGUCAGAUCGGUUAAGCAGAAGUUGAGGUGAUUGCACCCUCGCUGGAGUUUGCAGGUGAAAGAGGAGAUUCAGAAGUAGCUCAGUGUGGGAUUUUUAUCAGUAGUUGAGUAUCCCGAGUGGCUGGCCAAUGUCGUCCCUGUUCCCAAGAAGGACGGCAAGGUGAGAGUUUGUGUUGAUUUCCGAGAUCUCAACAAGGCCAGUCCUAAGGAUGAUUUUCCCCUCUUACACAUCAAUAUGCUAGUUGACAGUACGACAGGUCAUUCGAUGUUGUCCUUUAUGAACGAAUUUUUUGGGUACAAUCAGAUUUUGAUGGCUCCAGAGGACAUGGAGAAGACGUCCUUCAUUACUGAGUGGGGUACUUGCUGCUAUAGAGUGAUUCCGUUUGGUUUGAAGAAUGUAGGAACUACUUAUCAAAGAGCAGCGACUACUUUAUUCCAUGACAUGAUGCACCGGGAUGUCGAGGUUUAUGUAGAUGACAUGAUAGUGAAAUCUCAAGAUAGAGUAGAUCACCUAACAACCUUUGAGAGAUUCUUUAAGAGGAUCAGGCAGUUCAGAUUGAGACUGAAUCCCAAGAAGUGCACUUUUGGAGUGACUUCUAGGAAACUACUACGAUACAUGGUCUGUGAGAGAGGUAUAAAGAUAGAUCCAGAUAAGAUCAGAGCCAUCUUUGACAUGCCUGGGCCGAGGACCGAGAGAAAGAUCAUAGGCUUCUUGGGUAUACUUCAGUACAUCAACAGAUUUAUUGCCAGAUUGACAAACAUUUGUGAGCCUAUUUUCUGACUUUUGAGGAAGAGUCAACCUACCGUUUGGGAUGAUCAGUGUCAGCGCGCAUUUGAGAGGAUCAGAGAGUACUUGUUAUCACCUCUAGUCUUGGUCCCCCCUACACCAGGCCAUCCUCUACUCCUAUACCUGUCAGUUUCAGACAUAGCAUUGGGAUACAUGUUGGCUCAGCUCAAUGGUUUAGGGAAGGAGUGAGCUAUUUAUUAUCUGAGUAAGAGGAUGCUAGAUUACGAGACGAGAUAUGUCACGAUUGAGCGCUAUUGCUUGGCAUUGGUUUGGGCUACUCGGAGACUGAGACAUUACAUGAUUGAGUAUUCAGUGCACUUGAUAUCCCAUCUUGAUCCUCUAAGAUAUUUGUUUGACAGGCCUGCUUUGGUUGGACGACUCAUGAUAUGGUUGGUACUUCUGACUGAGUUUGACAUCCAUUAUGUCACGCGGAAGUCCAUAAGAGGGAGCAUUGUUGCAGAUCACUUAGCCUCAUUACCGGUUUCGAAUAGUAGAUUGAUGAUGAUUUCCUAGAUGAGGAUGUUGCUAUUGUGACUAGUCAGUCAAGUUAGCGUUUUGUAGACCCCCAUAUGGGGCUCGGUUUUCAUGCAGCCUAUUUUGCCAAGUGUCACAAUUCCAUAAGGCCACGUGUUGAUUUCUAGUUGGCUGUUGGGAAUCAGAGUAGUGGAAUUGGAGGACCAAUGAGAGGUCGACACGUGGCAAGAAGAUUCCAAAGAAUCUGCAGAAGCCGUUGUAGAGGAGCGUUUCUGUUACAGAGGGAGGAGGAGAUGCUUUUUGGGGGGCGGCCUGGAGAGUUUGGAGGAGUUUUUGAGUUUAGGGAAGCUACCGGAGAGAAGAAAACCUGGGGGGAAAACGAGACAGGAAGGCUUGUUGGUGAGGAGAUAUUUUGAGUGUGUUUUGGAGCUUGAGGGAAGGAGCAAGCUGAGAAAACAGGGCAUUUUCUGGAAAGAGAGAACAGAGAAUAGCUUAAGAAGGGGAGACGAGCUAAGGAAGGAAGAAGAAGAGGAUGGUUUGCUGAGUUCCUGUCAAUCUUGUGAGAGGGGAUCAUUCUGAGGUAUGCUUUUCUUCUCUUUUUCUACUCAUUCUUGGGAGAUUUUUAAGGAUUGCUAGUAAGUAUGUUCAUAUAUAUGUUUAAUUUUUUAUUUUUUGUGGUUCUUGCUGAAGAUCAGUUUGUCCUUAUUUCAUUUUCCCCAUGAUAUAUCUGUAAUCGUGCUUUGUUUCUUGUUGGAUACUCAUUUGAUUUCACUCACUUUCACCUGAGUCCAUGGAUUGAUGCAUAACUGAGGCUUGUAUGGAUUCACUCUGCUCCUAUUAUUUGUACUCUGUUUUUCCACUUUCCCUUGUUCCUAGUACCCGCCCAUGGUGCAUACCUGUUCUUCCAUCCCUGCCUGAGGGAACAAAGAACUACUAAGGUGCAAAUGUAAGGAGACUAAAGCCAGGAUAUUAAUUGGAGUGUGAUUAUGCAUGCUCUGUUUUUGGGGCCUCUUGUCUCUCUACCCGAUUCUCAAAUCAUUUCUUAGUUUCAUUAUUUCUUGGGGAUACUGCUUGUUUGCUCCUGCUGUUUACUUCGAGGUUAUGGUGGCUCGCUUGUUGGUCAUUGGCUGUCAAAGAUGCUAGCUGGAAUUGCACAGUUUGGGCUCUACUUUAUAAGGUUGGGAGUAUGAAUUUGGUUCUAUCCUUUGGAAAUCAUCUGAGCCAGAGCAAUAUAUGCCCAGUUGAGAAAGGUGUCUAAUGGAUGCUACCAAGAGGGCAAACAUUGUGGGGGAUUGAUUUAAUAAGAAUAUGAGCGAGCUUUCAUGUCAGUAUUAGCCUGAAGCUGGAUCAAAAGCUAAGUAUCAUGCGGCCGCCAUGGAUCAUCUGAACCCCGAAGCUUUCUGCCAGUCCACUCACUACCCAUCUCCUGAUCCGUGUGUCACCUCCACACGCCCACGACAUCACCUGCGGUUGUAACUGUGCAAGGCAUAGCCAAGGAGGGAGAGCAAUCCAACUGCGGGGGUUGCCGACGUCACCGGUGAAGGAAUCUGUCCACUUGACGAGUCACCACCUCGGCAUCAAAGCUUCUACAUUCCGGCGAUGCUCGAUUUGUGAUGAGAUGAGUCUUGUGACUGAUUCUCCUGUACACUCAUCAAGCAGUAAUGGAUUUGCUGCAUAUCUUGAUGCAGAACUAGAUUCUGAUUCUUCUGACGUUUCACCGGAGUAGGAAGCUGAGGAUGACGAGCAGGAAGCUGAGGACGAAUCUGAUUCUGAGUACAAGAGGGUAAAAAGGCAGAAGGUAGAGGAGUUUGAAAGCAUAGAGGAGCAUCCAGGGUCAAUUUCAGAUGGAUCCCUAGAGCACAAUCUAUAAGUAACCAUCGUAAAGGAUACAUGCACACAUCCUGGCGUUUUUAGAGAAUUGUAUAUACGUUGUGGGCAGCCAAAUGGCGCAAGGGCCCCAUCCCCUCAAGUGGUCAAAAACUGAAGAUGCCACGUGUUCCUGGAUCAUUAGAAGCUCCCCAAAAUUCAGAGGUGGCUGGAGAUGUUACGUCACCACCUCUAACACCAAUUCCUUUAUCAAACAUCCAGUAUGUAUCAACUCCUUCUACCAAUGAUACGAGUCAACACUUGGAGAGAAGGGUUUCGUUGGAAUUCCUGAUAAAACUUCUGACACAAUCAAAGAGCAACUUGCAUCAGUCACACCGCUGGUAGAAAAUCUAAGGUCGAAGAAAGAUCUUUCCAUGCAACUCGGUAUCCUCAUUCCCAUCAUCUGUGAUUGGUUAAACCAGCAUUGGGAGGGUAGUCUUAAUGAAUUCAACAAACCUAAGUCCCCGCUUAUUCGGUUGAUGUCCACUGAUUAGAAGAAUGAGCAUCAUUGCGCUUUCCUUCACCAUGCGGCAAGUUCUCAAGGGGCAACUAUGAUUGAGCACGCCAAUGUUACAGCUGCUGGUGGAAAUGCAAGCUAUGUACUUGACGGGGUGCCUCCCAUCCUGUCAUCUGCUUAUUUUCAUCAUUACAAUACACAACUAAUGCCUGCUGAUGUUGGAAUUAUUAAUCCAUCAACCUUAAAAGGAGAAAACAAGCUAGAUGUCUUAGAAGAGUUUGAGCAGAAAAGUGGAAGUGUCCGAGAAUUUGGCCAUGAUGAAAUAGGCAGCUGCCAUGGCACAGGUGGAAGUAGUUAAUGCUAGGCAAAACUGAAGCAGAUAAGAAGGUUUAAGGAAGUUUGAAAGGGAUUUAGAGGAAGAGAAUGGUAGUACCGGCUUGAAGAGUUGCAACAAGGAAAUGGGGCUUUAUAGACGGCAACAGAGGAAAACAUUCAAGCAGAGCUUCUUUCAUGGAAUGGCUUUCCUAAUUCCUACUGUUGAUGUGUCAGUGGUAGACCUCACUGUCAGGCUGGAGAAGGCUGCCACCUAUGAGCAAGUUAAAGUUGCUCUUAAUCUGAGUUAUGUUCCAGUAGGAGAGUCACGAAGCCAAAUACACAAUCACCCAAGGAAUUAUCUCACUCACAGAACAAUGUGAUCAACUUUGGCUUGGUUGUCAAAAAGAGAUAAUCAUGAAGCAGAGUAUUGGCUAAAUUACGGGUGAUGAUUCAUGGAAGUCCGGAAUUAAUAUUCCUAGACAAGCUUUUGCUCCCCCGUGUGAAAAUUCAGAGACCGUCAGGGAAUUGGAGCCUCUACAGGCGCUGAAAUUACUCCAUCUGAUGGAAUCCAGGCUGCUCAUGAAGAAUUAUAUCUUCGUAUAUCAGCCGAGACAUUUGAGAACAUUGAUGCUGCAGUCGCGCUGAUUGAAUUUCAGGAAAUCCAGCUGUUGUUUCCACCACACCAACUUCAGUUUCUGAGGCUAAUGUGAAUGUUCAUAAUCAAAGCCAUAAGUGGUUUGAUGGGAUUGAUUGGAAGAGGAUGUCAGAUUCUGUGGGAGCACCCAGUUAAACCUUAUUGGCAAAAGCUUUGCAUGCCCAUCAUUAAGCCACGUCCCUUUCUUUUGUUUAUUUAUUUAUUUAUUUCUUCAUCUUUUAAUUUUAAAAUAGAUUCCUAAACUCUAGUUUGCAAAUAAUUUUUCAAAUUCCUUUUUUUCAAAUAAUUUCAUCUCUUUAAUUUUUCAUCCUUAGUUUUUUUCGUUUAGGUUCCAAAAAUCCGUUUUUCAAUAAAAUUUGGCUGUCAUUUUCUUUUCGGCGAGCCACUUUUGAUUUUUUCAUGAUUUUAAAAUGUUUUAAAAUAAAUAUGAAUAUUAAUUCCGUAAUUCCGAAUAAUGGAAUUUAUGGAAUUAAUUCAUGCAAAAAUAAACGGGUUUUGGUGGGGGCCCUACAUCAAAGAAUUUUCUUUAAAAUAAAAAUCAAUUUGAAUGAAUUGUGACAUGUGAUGACUUUUGUGCUCGUUUUAGUGACAUGUGAGCUAUGUUUAUGCUCUUUAUUGUACACUGACCCAAUUUUUUGUGAUAGCGCAUUGAUCGUUUGAUGCUAAGGUACGCCCUGCUCUCACUUUGAUCAUUCUUCAUUGAGUGUUCUGAUUUUCAUACGUGCAUAAUCAUUCUGGGUAUUUUCUGAUUUACACAUCAAUUGCCACGUUAGCUUCAUCUUAUUAGUAGAGACCCGUUUUUAGGGACUUAGAGGGGUGCUACGGUCUUUACCGUACCUUCCUGAUAAGUAACCUGACCCCCGAACCCGAUCCGGUUUUUCACAGACCGCAUUUUCCAAAAUAAGGAGUCACACUUAGGGUUUUUCUUUCUUAUUUUGUUUACCCUUUAAAAAUAAAACAAAAAUAAGUGGCGACUCCAAGUCAUUUUU